UUUGCCAAUAUAGCCACCCUGUAGGGGUAAGCUAGCCGGGAUAAGAUCAUGCAGGAGCGGUGAAGAAGAGGACAGCUUGAACAACUGAGAUAAUCUGAUUCAAUAAUUGAAUACAAGGUACCCCAAAAUUAAAUUUUAAAGAAUUUUUAAGAGAAUUAAUUAAAGUGGUGGAU